GACGAACGCUGGCGGCGUGCUUAACACAUGCAAGUCGAACGGUAAGGCCCUUCGGGGUACACGAGUGGCGAACGGGUGAGUAACACGUGGGUGAUCUGCCCUGCACUUCGGGAUAAGCCUGGGAAACUGGGUCUAAUACCGGAUAGGACUCCGGACUGCAUGGUCUGGGGUGGAAAGCUUUUGCGGUGUGGGAUGGGCCCGCGGCCUAUCAGCUUGUUGGUGGGGUGAUGGCCUACCAAGGCGACGACGGGUAGCCGGCCUGAGAGGGUGACCUGCCACACUGGGACUGUGAUACGGCCCAGACUCCUACGGGAGGCAGCAGUGGGGAAUAUUGCACAAUGGGCGCAAGCCUGAUGGGGCGACACCGCGUGGGGGAUGAAGGCCUUCGGGUCGUAAACCCCUUUUGCUUGGGACGAAGCGCAAGCUGACGGUACCAAGCGAAUAAGAGGUUGCUAACUCUGUGCCAGCCGCCGCAGUAA
rnacentral:rRNA from 1 species